UACGGGGGGGGGCAAGCGUUUGUUCGGAAUUACUGGGCGUAAAGGGCUCGUAGGCGGCCAACUAAGUCAUACGUGAAAUCCCUCGGCUUAACCGGGGAACUGCGUCUGAUACUGGAUGGCUUGAGUUCGGGAGAGGGAUGCGGAAUUCCAGGUGUAGCGGUGAAAUGCGUAGAUAUCUGGAGGAACACCGGUGGCGAAGGCGGCAUCCUGGACCGAGUACUGACGCUGAGGAGCGAAAGCCAGGGGAGCAAAGCGGGG
rnacentral:rRNA from 1 species